ACGCUGUUAGCUCAGCAGGUUAGAGCAAUUGCCUUCUAAGCAAUCGGUCACUGGUUCGUCUCCCGUACAGCGUACCA
rnacentral:tRNA from 1 species